rnacentral:rRNA from 1 species
AGGGGGCACACCCGUACCCAUCCCGAACACGAUGGUUAAGACCUAAGCGGCCGAUGGUACUGCACUGGAGACGGUGUGGGAGAGCAGGUGGCCGCCAGCA